UUACAACCACAACAAUAAAGAAUAAUAAUUCUGCGACAACAGACGACACAUUCCGAAACACUGCCGCUUCAAAUGUCAACGUUUUGGCGAUUCUAGCGACAGCUGGGCCAUUUAUAUUGCUGGAUAUUGGACUAAUUGUGUGUGUAUAUAGAAAGAAACUGAAUGCUUGUCGGAGUCGUAAAGUUGGUCGAGGUGCCAAUGUAGUCACUGUAAGUUUCAACGGAGGUUCGGUUCAUAUUGAACAAGACAAUAUUGUAGUUGGAUGUGGUAAUGCUACAUAUUCUGAUGGGCCGUUAUCAUCAAAUCCAAAUACUAGCUGCAACACUACAGCACCAAUGGAACAGUUACCAUGCGGAGGCAAUGACGAAGACGAUGAUGAUCCAUUGUAUAGCAGAGCAAAACACAAUGACGCAAGACGUCCCG